rnacentral:rRNA from 1 species
CACGUAGGGGGCAAGCGUUGUCCGGAAUUAUUGGGCGUAAAGAGCUCGUAGGCGGCUCGGUAAGUCAGGUGUCAAAUCCUCAGGCUCAACCUGGGGCUCCACCUGAUACUGCUGUGGCUAGAGUCCGGUAGGGGAGCGUGGAAUUCCUGGUGUAGCGGUGAAAUGCGCAGAUAUCAGGAGGAACACCAGCGGCGAAGGCGGCGCUCUGGGCCGGAACUGACGCUGAGGAGCGAAAGCAUGGGUAGCAAACAGG